AUCGGUUCACCUUGGGGUGAUUAAUAGGGAACUCGGGUGGGAAUCCCGGACAGUCCCGCUGCUGUAAACCGUCCAUUAAGCAUAGACAAAUGUCACUGAGAUUUUCGGGAAGACGUCUGUGGCCUGACGGUAAGUCAGAAGACCUGCCGGUUUG
rnacentral:ncRNA from 1 species